rnacentral:rRNA from 1 species
CAGGCCUAACACAUGCAAGUCGAACGAGGUCCUUCGGGGCCUAGUGGCGCACGGGUGCGUAACGCGUGGGAAUCUGCCCUUGGGUCUGGGAUAACAGUUGGAAACGACUGCUAAUACCGGAUGAUAUCGCGAGAUCAAAGAUUUAUCGCCUGAGGAUGAGCCCGCGUCGGAUUAGCUUGUUGGUGGGGUAAAGGCCUACCAAGGCGACGAUCCGUAGCUGGUCUGAGAGGAUGAUCAGCCACACUGGGACUGAGACACGGCCCAGACUCCUACGGGAGGCAGCAGUGGGGAAUAUUGGACAAUGGGCGAAAGCCUGAUCCAGCAAUGCCGCGUGAGUGAUGAAGGCCUUAGGGUUGUAAAGCUCUUUUACCCGGGAUGAUAAUGACAGUACCGGGAGAAUAAGCCCCGGCUAACUCCGUGCCAGCAGCCGCGGUAAU